UCCUGGCUUUCGAAGGUACUGUGC
rnacentral:piRNA from 1 species